GACGAACGCUGGCGGCGUGCCUAAUACAUGCAAGUCGAACGCAGUGGGGACGGGUGAGUAACAAGUGGGUAACCUCCCAUCAGAGGGGAUAACACUUGGAAACAGGUGCUAAACCGAUACGGAAGGAUGUACCCGCGGUGCAUUAGCCAGUUGGUGAGGUAACGGCUCACCACGGCCACGAUGCCUAGCCGACUGGAGAGGGUGACCGGCCACACUGGGACUGAGACACGGCCCAGACUCCUACGGGAGGCAGCAGUGGGGAAGUUUCGGCAAUGGGCGAAAGUCUGACCGAGCAACGCCGCGUGUGUGAAGAAGGUUUUCGGGUCGUAAAACUCUGUUGUUAGGGAGGCGGUAUCUGACCAGAAAGCAACGGCUAACUACGUGCCAGCAGCCGCGGUAAUAC
rnacentral:rRNA from 1 species